UUUUCCUUGUUGCGGCGAAUACUGGAACUGUUUGUGUUUCAGGAGCAGCAUGGAUUUAUGAACACAGAUCAUCGGGACAUUCUUUUGGCCACAUUUUCACAGUCUCUGAUAAUGGACCUGGAGGUGAGAGGAGCCUUUUAUAAAUGUAACUCCAUACCAACAUUUCCUCAAUAAUGGCAAACUUGUAAUAUAAAUUUUAUCUCUAACCAAAAUUCAACUCUUCCCCCACCUUGGCCAAACUUAUAUACAUGCCCCCAAGUCAAAAAGGAAUCGCAUUUUCCCCAAUGAACCUUAUGCAUCAGGUCACAUGUGUAUUGUCAACAAGAUGCAUAAUCUCACCACACCAGGGAAGGGAUACUGGACAAUUAGUCAAGUGAGCAGCACAUGAGAGUAAUAAAACUAAUGACAAAGGGGCCAUUUGUAAUAUAAAUUGAAAGUGUACAAGUUAGAUAACAAAAAAUAAAAAACAUUAAUAACUAGUACAAUUAUGUCCCUGGGUCAUAAAAUUGAAGCUACAUGCACAUGCAUUACACAUGAAUGUAGAUAAUACUAUUCAAUAAUACUUGCAUGAUAUAUUACAAAAGAUCGAAGUUAAAACAUUAGGCAAUGAAUCUCAUGGUUGUUGUCUGUUUGAUCAACUUGCUUAUAGUAACUUUAAGAAACUUUAACAAUUUAAGUCUCAAGAUUUGAUUGCAAAUAGUCCCCUCUCACGGCUAGCUGCUAGACAUUUCCUUAUGAAUUUAGUAAGGAGAAUUUGGUGUUAGAUCAAGGUAACAAUUUCUACCUGUGUGAUAAGUUCGAGUAUUCUCAUUACCUGUUUGCUGGAUAAUGUAUGGAUGUUAUAGUGAGAAGUUACAUGUUAAUCACUUCUGGGAGUUUAAGGGUUAGGUGCUCCUUCAUUGCCACAGCAGAUAACAGGUUUUAAUUCAAAGCUGAAUUAUCAUUAAUUUUAAAGGUGUCUGAUGACGUAUCUACCCUUCAAACAAGUAGAGUGUUGGCUCAAGUCAUCUUUGAAAGUCAACAAAUACGGUCACAUGGCAUAACACAAGCUGUACCAGUGCAACCUUCUUGGCUGGUGGAUUUUUCAGUUAUGAUGGUGAGUAACAGAUAAAUAGCUUAAUCCAUUAUCAUCCUUCACAUUCAUUGUUUACUCAUAGAUACAUGGAAUGUGCAUAUUGACCCCUUGGUUCACAACAUUGAUCUGCUCAGUUCUAUAAUAACUUUUUGUGAAUGAAAGAUGCACCAUUUAAGUGCAGCUGUAAAAACAUGGCAGAUUGAUGACAAUUAAAUUUCAAAGAAUAGUUUCCAUGUGAAAAACAAAAUUGGAGAUGUCGAGUGACAAUUCUAUGUUAACUGUUCCAUUCCCAAGAUCUACACAUCAAUUCUCUUAGCCAGGUUUUCUCUUAGAAUUUUACAUCUGAGAAUUUUGGAACUCAGUCAAUCAAUGUCCCCAAGAUGAUAUAGAUAAUCUCAUCAUCCUCCCUAAGAAUAUGUAAUGAUAUUGUGAGGAGAAAUUCACUCCUAGGAAUGAGUGGGUUAAAAUUUCUUCACUAGGCAUGUACAUCUGUUGAAAAAUAUAACA
rnacentral:lncRNA from 1 species